rnacentral:rRNA from 1 species
UACGUAGGGUGCAAGCGUUGUCCGGAAUUAUUGGGCGUAAAGAGCUCGUAGGCGGUUUGUCGCGUCUGCCGUGAAAGUCCGGGGCUCAACUCCGGAUCUGCGGUGGGUACGGGCAGACUAGAGUGAUGUAGGGGAGACUGGAAUUCCUGGUGUAGCGGUGAAAUGCGCAGAUAUCAGGAGGAACACCAAUUGCGAAGGCAGCUCGCUGGGACGUAACUGACGCUGAGACGCGAAAGCGUGGGGAGCAAACAGG